rnacentral:rRNA from 1 species
UGCCAGCCGCCGCGGUAAUACGGAGGGUACGAACGUUAAUCGGAAUUACUGGGCGUAAAGCGCGCGUAGGCGGUUUGAUAAGUGGGAUGUGAAAGCCCCGGGCUCAACCUGGGAACUGCAUUCCAAACUGUCAGGCUAGAGUAUGGUAGAGGGAGGUAGAAUUUCCUGUGUAGCGGUGAAAUGCGUAGAUAUAGGAAGGAAUACCGGUGGCGAAGGCGGCCUCCUGGACCAAUACUGACGCUGAGGUGCGAAAGCGUGGGGAGCAAACAGGAUUAGAUA